rnacentral:rRNA from 1 species
GUAGGAGGCAAGCGUUGUCCGGAAUUAUUGGGCGUAAAGCGCGCGCAGGUGGUUCUUUAAGUCUGAUGUGAAAGCCCCCCGGCUCAACCGGGGAGAGUCAUUGGAAACUGGGGGAACUUGAGUGCAGGAGAGGAAAGUGGAAUUCCACGUGUAGCGGUGAAAUGCGUAGAUAUGUGGAGGAACACCAGUGGCGAAGGCGACUUUCUGGCCUGUAACUGACACUGAGGCGCGAAAGCGUGGGGAGCAAACAGGAUUAGAUACCCUGGUAGUCCACGCCGUAAACGAUGAGUGCUAAGUGUUGGGGGGGUUUCCGCCCCUCAGUGCUGCAGCUAACGCAUUAAGCACUCCGCCUGGGAGUACGGUCGCAAGACUG